AAAUUGAAGAGUUUGAUCAUGGCUCAGAUUGAACGCUGGCGGCAGGCCUAACACAUGCAAGUCGAACGGUAACAGGAAACAGCUUGCUGUUUCGCUGACGAGUGGCGGACGGGUGAGUAAUGUCUGGGAAACUGCCUGAUGGAGGGGGAUAACUACUGGAAACGGUAGCUAAUACCGCAUAAUGUCGCAAGACCAAAGAGGGGGACCUUCGGGCCUCUUGCCAUCGGAUGUGCCCAGAUGGGAUUAGCUAGUAGGUGGGGUAACGGCUCACCUAGGCGACGAUCCCUAGCUGGUCUGAGAGGAUGACCAGCCACACUGGAACUGAGACACGGUCCAGACUCCUACGGGAGGCAGCAGUGGGGAAUAUUGCACAAUGGGCGCAAGCCUGAUGCAGCCAUGCCGCGUGUAUGAAGAAGGCCUUCGGGUUGUAAAGUACUUUCAGCGGGGAGGAAGGGAGUAAAGUUAAUACCUUUGCUCAUUGACGUUACCCGCAGAAGAAGCACCGGCUAACUCCGUGCCAGCAGCCGCGGUAAUACGGAGGGUGCAAGCGUUAAUCGGAAUUACUGGGCGUAAAGCGCACGCAGGCGGUUUGUUAAGUCAGAUGUGAAAUCCCCGGGCUCAACCUGGGAACUGCAUCUGAUACUGGCAAGCUUGAGUCUCGUAGAGGGGGGUAGAAUUCCAGGUGUAGCGGUGAAAUGCGUAGAGAUCUGGAGGAAUACCGGUGGCGAAGGCGGCCCCCUGGACGAAGACUGACGCUCAGGUGCGAAAGCGUGGGGAGCAAACAGGAUUAGAUACCCUGGUAGUCCACGCCGUAAACGAUGUCGACUUGGAGGUUGUGCCCUUGAGGCGUGGCUUCCGGAGCUAACGCGUUAAGUCGACCGCCUGGGGAGUACGGCCGCAAGGUUAAAACUCAAAUGAAUUGACGGGGGCCCGCACAAGCGGUGGAGCAUGUGGUUUAAUUCGAUGCAACGCGAAGAACCUUACCUGGUCUUGACAUCCACAGAACUUUCCAGAGAUGGAUUGGUGCCUUCGGGAACUGUGAGACAGGUGCUGCAUGGCUGUCGUCAGCUCGUGUUGUGAAAUGUUGGGUUAAGUCCCGCAACGAGCGCAACCCUUAUCCUUUGUUGCCAGCGGUCCGGCCGGGAACUCAAAGGAGACUGCCAGUGAUAAACUGGAGGAAGGUGGGGAUGACGUCAAGUCAUCAUGGCCCUUACGACCAGGGCUACACACGUGCUACAAUGGCGCAUACAAAGAGAAGCGACCUCGCGAGAGCAAGCGGACCUCAUAAAGUGCGUCGUAGUCCGGAUUGGAGUCUGCAACUCGACUCCAUGAAGUCGGAAUCGCUAGUAAUCGUGGAUCAGAAUGCCACGGUGAAUACGUUCCCGGGCCUUGUACACACCGCCCGUCACACCAUGGGAGUGGGUUGCAAAAGAAGUAGGUAGCUUAACCUUCGGGAGGGCGCUUACCACUUUGUGAUUCAUGACUGGGGUGAAGUCGUAACAAGGUAACCGUAGGGGAACCUGCGGUUGGAUCACCUCCUUACCUUAAAGAAGC
rnacentral:rRNA from 5 species